rnacentral:rRNA from 1 species
UACGGAGGGAGCUAGCGUUGUUCGGAAUUACUGGGCGUAAAGCGCACGUAGGCGGCUAUUUAAGUCAGAGGUGAAAGCCUGGAGCUCAACUCCAGAACUGCCUUUGAGACUGGAUAGCUAGAAUCCAGGAGAGGUGAGUGGAAUUCCGAGUGUAGAGGUGAAAUUCGUAGAUAUUCGGAAGAACACCAGUGGCGAAGGCGGCUCACUGGACAUGUAUUGACGCUGAGGUGCGAAAGCGUGGGGAGCAAACAGG